AAUUCGUGGUGUGGGCAAGCUCUCGUUAAUUUUUUAUAUCUCUCUCAUGCUUCAAAAAGAGAUUCACUGUCCAUCUGCCUGAAGCAGAUAAUUUUUUGAAUUAUCAGCCACUUUUCUAAUCCGUGGUGUGGGCAAUCUCUCAUUCAUUUUUUAUAUCUCUCUCAUGCUUCAAAAAGAGAUUCACUGUCCAUCUACCUGAAGCAGAUAAUUUGGUUACUAAAUGU
rnacentral:lncRNA from 1 species